rnacentral:rRNA from 1 species
UACACUCCUACGGGAGGCAGCAGUGGGGAAUAUUGGACAAUGGGCGCAAGCCUGAUCCAGCCAUGCCGCGUGAGUGAUGAAGGCCCUAGGGUUGUAAAGCUCUUUCACCGGUGAAGAUAAUGACGGUAACCGGAGAAGAAGCCCCGGCUAACUUCGUGCCAGCAGCCGCGGUAAUACGAAGGGGGCUAGCGUUGUUCGGAUUUACUGGGCGUAAAGCGCACGUAGGCGGACUAUUAAGUCAGGGGUGAAAUCCCGGGGCUCAACCCCGGAACUGCCUUUGAUACUGGUAGUCUUGAGUUCGAGAGAGGUGAGUGGAAUUCCGAGUGUAGAGGUGAAAUUCGUAGAUAUUCGGAGGAACACCAGUGGCGAAGGCGGCUCACUGGCUCGAUACUGACGCUGAGGUGCGAAAGCGUGGGGAGCAAACAGGAUUAGAAACCCGAGUAGUCCCAUGA